rnacentral:rRNA from 1 species
UCGCCUGCAUGAAGCUGGAAUUGCUAGUAAUCGCGGAUCAGCAAGCCGCGGUGAAUACGUUCCCGGGCCUUGUACACACCGCCCGUCACACCAUGAGAGUCGGGAACACCCGAAGUCCGUAGUCUAACCGCAAGGGGGGCGCGGCCGAAGGUGGGUCCGGUAAUUGGGGGUGAAGUCGUAACAAGGUACC